rnacentral:rRNA from 1 species
UACGGGGGGGCAAGCGUUGUUCGGAAUUACUGGGCGUAAAGCGUGCGCAGGCGGUUUUGUAAGCCAGAUGUGAAAUCCCCGGGCUUAACCUGGGAAUGGCAUUUGGGACUGCAAGGCUUGAGUGCGGCAGAGGAGACUGGAAUUCCUGGUGUAGCAGUGAAAUGCGUAGAUAUCAGGAGGAAUACCGAUGGCGAAGGCGGCUCACUGGACCGGUUCUGACGCUGAGGCGCGAAAGCUAGGGGAGCAAACGG